rnacentral:misc_RNA from 1 species
UAGAAGCCGAAAGGCUACUUAAGACCAUCGCGAACUAGUCCAAGUUGCUUCGGCGGCGCGGCUCCCCUCACGGGGGACCGCAGCCCCCGCCUCUCAGGAGGUAGGGGCAGCCCGCCGGAGGUACGAAACUCUGUAUUAUAGUGGUAUCUCUGAGUAUAAAACAAAUAAGUUA